GCCGAGGUGGCGGAAUUGGUAGACGCGCACGACUCAAAAUCGUGUACUGAAAGGUGUGGGGGUUCGAUUCCCCCCCUCGGCACCA
rnacentral:tRNA from 1 species